rnacentral:rRNA from 1 species
GACGAACGCUGGCGGCGUGCUUAACACAUGCAAGUGGAGCGACGAACCGGACUUCGGUCCGGGGCAAAGCCGCGAACGGGUGAGUAACACGUGGGUAACCUGCCCCAAUGACCGGGACAACCCGAGGAAACUCGGGCUAAUACCGGAUGUGCCCACUUCCCAUCAGGGUUGUGAGGAAAGGAAGCUUCGGCCUCCGCAUUGGGAUGGGCCCGCGGCCCAUUAGCUUGUUGGUGGGGUAAUGGCCUACCAAGGCGACGAUGGGUAGCUGGUCUGAGAGGACGAUCAGCCACACUGGGACUGAGACACGGCCCAGACUCCUACGGGAGGCAGCAGUGGGGAAUCUUGCGCAAUGCGCGAAAGCGUGACGCAGCAACGCCGCGUGUGGGAAGACGGCCUUCGGGUUGUAAACCACUUUCAGUUGGGACGAAGCCUUGCUGGUUAAUAGCCAGUGGAGGUGACGGUACCUUCAGAAGAAGCCCCGGCUAACUACGUGCCAGCAGCCGCCGUAACAC